rnacentral:rRNA from 1 species
AGUGAACGCUGGCGGCAGGCCUAACACAUGCAAGUCGAGCGGCAGCGGGUCCCCGCGAGGGGAUGCCGGCGAGCGGCGGACGGGUGAGGAACACAUCGGAAUCUGCCUGGUUGUGGGGGAUAACGUAGGGAAACUUACGCUAAUACCGCAUGCGACCCUGAGUCGACGGACUGGGGGUGAAAGUGAGGGACCUUCGGGCCUCACGCGACCAGAUGAGCCGAUGUCGGAUAGCUAGUUGGCGGGGUAACGGCCCGCCAAGGCGACGAUCCGUAGCUGGUCUGAGAGGAUGAUCAGCCACACUGGGACUGAGACACGGCCCAGACUCCUACGGAGGCAGCAGUGGGGAAUCUUGGACAAUGGGCGCAAGCCUGAUCCAGCCAUGCCGCG